rnacentral:rRNA from 1 species
UACGUAGGGCGCAAGCGUUAUCCGGAAUUAUUGGGCGUAAAGAGCUCGUAGGCGGUUUGUCGCGUCUGCUGUGAAAGCCCGGGGCUCAACCCCGGGUCUGCAGUGGGUACGGGCAGACUAGAGUGCAGUAGGGGAGACUGGAAUUCCUGGUGUAGCGGUGAAAUGCGCAGAUAUCAGGAGGAACACCGAUGGCGAAGGCAGGUCUCUGGGCUGUAACUGACGCUGAGGAGCGAAAGCGUGGGGAGCGAACAGG